CCGCUUUGUGAGAAUGUGUUUCAAAGGCGUGUGCCUGCCUCGCCCACCAGGCGCUGUGUUCCCCACGCUGCUGGGUACUCCAGGCAAGCUGGUUGCCUCAAAGAUUCAAGUAACACCUGUACACCCUGGCUCUUAUUUUCAAAUGAGGACACAGAGGCAAGUGCCAAAAUUUACAGAUGGCUUCUUAGUGUUUUAAAGUCUAGCAGGAAAACAUUGGCUGGUUUCAGAUCCCGAUGCAGCACAGUAUGACCACCAUCGCUUCGUCUGUGACAUUCCUUCAGGGCCAGGGUCAACUGGGUCAUCACUCGAAGAACAA